rnacentral:rRNA from 1 species
GACAGAGGUGCCAAGCGUUAGGCGGAAUCACUGGGCUUAAAGCGUGUGUAGGCGGAUCGUUAAGUACCUUGUGAAAACUCACAGCUCAACUGUGGGCGUGCAGGCGAUAUGGGCAGACUAGAGUACUGCAGGGGAGACUGGAAUUCCUGGUGUAGCGGUGGAAUGCGCAGAUGUCAGGAGGAACACCGGUGGCGAAGGCGGGUCUCUGGGCCGUAACUGACGCUGAGGAGCGAAAGCGUGGGGAGCGAACAGG